rnacentral:rRNA from 1 species
AUGAAAGGAAUAUUCUGGAAUAGCAGAGGUCUUAAGGACUUGGCUAAACGUAGGUUUCUAGCGGAGGCAUCUUUAGAGCACCGUUUAGAUUUCAUUGCUCUCUCUGAAACUGGUAGGGAUAAUUUUGCACCUCAGUUUCUUAACACGUUGUCGGGAGGGGUGGAAUUCGAUUGGCAUUGUCUUCCUCCAAGAGGGAGGUCUGGGGGCAUCUUGCUGGGUGUGAGAUGUGAUUCCCUUGAAGUCCGGAGUGUUGUUAUGGGUGACUUUGCAGUGAAAUUCAGAGUCAGGUCCAAAAUAGAUGGGUUUAACUGGGUGUUGGUGGCGGUCUACGGGGCUGCACAACCUGAGCUUAAACCUGAAUUUUUGGCUGACCUGGUUCGAAUUUGUGGGUCCGAACAACUCCCUAUCCUGGUUGGGGGGGACUUCAACAUUAUUAGGAGGCGGGAUGAAAAGAAUAACGAUAAUUUUGAUGGGCGAUGGUCCUUUAUGUUUAAUACCAUCAUUGAGAGUUUGGAUUUGAGAGAAAUCGAACUCUCUGGUAGACAAUUUACCUGGGCUAACUCUUUACCAAACCCGACAUAUGAGAAGUUGGAUCGGGUUCUUGCAAGUGCCGAAUGGGAGCAGAAGUUCCCUCUGGUCACGGUGCAGGCUCUAACGCGAGGAAUUUCGGACCACACACCGCUAUUUGUUGACUCAGGGGAGCCAAGGCAUGUGGGAAACAAGAAUACUUUCUCCUUUGAAACGUCAUGGUUUGAAAGAGAAGGUUUCUUGGAUAUUGUUGCCAGAGAGUGGGCUAGAGAGUCUAGGGGUAGAUCGCCUGUCGAGAGAUGGCAGAAUAAGAUUAGGCAUUUGAGGUGCUUUCUUCGAGGUUGGGCUAAACAUCUAAGUGGAGUUUAUAAGGUUGAGAAAGACAGACUCCUGGAGAUUAUUCAAUACCUAGAUGUUAAAGCUGAAUCAGCGGUUCUUCAAUCUGCGGAUAUGUGCUGUAAGAUUGAUGCGGAAAAGAGGUUGAAGGAACUUCUCCGCGAAGAAGAGCUGAAGUGGGCGCUCAGAGCAAAGGUGCGCAAAGUAAUCCAAGGGGAUGCGAACACUCAAUUCUUUCAUCUGAUUGCGAAUGGCAAACACAGAAAGAAAAAAAUAUUUCAGCUCGAGCAAGAUGAAGGCACAAUUGUUGGUCACGAUAAUCUUAAGCUAUACAUCACCGAAUACUACAAGCAGUUAUUUGGACCGCCGGAGGAUAGCGCUGUGUCCCUCGAUGAGUCCAGGACUGAGGAUGUGCCUCAAUUAACUGCUGCUGAUAAUGACAUGCUAGUUGCGCCGUUUACGGAAAAGGAGGUUUUCGAUGCCAUCUCUCAGAUGGAGAACAAUAAGGCU